rnacentral:rRNA from 1 species
UACAGAGACUGCAAGCGUUAUUCGGAUUUACUGGGCGUAAAGCGCACGUAGGCGGCUUUGUAAGUUAGAGGUGAAAGCCCGGGGCUCAACUCCGGAAUUGCCUUUAAGACUGCAUCGCUAGAAUUGUGGAGAGGUAAGUGGAAUUCCGAGUGUAGAGGUGAAAUUCGUAGAUAUUCGGAAGAACACCAGUGGCGAAGGCGACUUACUGGACACAUAUUGACGCUGAGGUGCGAAAGCGUGGGGAGCAAACAGG